rnacentral:sRNA from 2 species
UGCCGAGCUCUGCCGCUGUCCGGGGUCCGUUCGCACAACUUCGCAUGGCAGGGGCGGGGGAACCACUUACGGGUUUCAAUCGAAAUCCUUGGGGUUAAGUUUUGGGAAUUCCCGGUAUUCGCCGGAAUUCCCAUGGCCGGAUGACUCCCAUCCGAACCCGACAGCUCACCUCGCAGGCAUGGGAGAGGUAUAGA